rnacentral:rRNA from 1 species
GCUUGGCAAAUCCAUACUCUCCCAGGCCGCUUCCAGCCAAGUACCAUCAGCGUAUAUGGGCUUAACUUCUAGGUUCGGAAUGUAACUAGGUGUACCCCCAUAGCUAUACUCACCAA